rnacentral:rRNA from 1 species
GAUGAACGCUGGCGGCGUGCCUAAUACAUGCAAGUCGAACGAAGUCUUCGGACCUAGUGGCGAACGGGUGAGUAACACGUUGGUACCUACCCCUAAGUGGGGAAUAACUGCCCGAAAGGGUGGCUAAUACCGCAUAAUCCCGCAAGGGUAAAGCAGUAAUGCGCUUAGGGAGGGGCCUGCGUCCCAUUAGCUAGUUGGUGAGGUAAUUGCUCACCAAGGCAACGAUGGGUAGCUGGAUCGAGAGGUUGACCAGCCACACUGGGACUGAGAUACGGCCCAGACUCCUACGGGAGGCAGCAGUAAGGAAUCUUCCACAAUGGACGAAAGUCUGAUGGAGCAACGCCGCGUGGGUGACGAAGGCCUU